GCGAUAUGUGGAGGGUUUUCUCGAGCUCUCCAACCGGGUGAGCUGGCACGACGCCGCUCUAUGUACGUGCUUCCUGCUGGGGUUGGAUGACGAGAUUAUCCACUGCGAUCUUCCGGUGUGUGACUUUCCCUUGAGUGAGCUGAAUAAUCUUGUGCUUUUCUUAAAUGGUUCUGACUUCGAAGUUGAAGAAGUAAAGGAACAUCCCAAGCCUCGUCAUCCAGCUCACCUCAUGCCGAGAAACCCCACAUACCUCUCUAAUGGAUCCUACCGCCUGCCCAACCCCAAAUUCCCCGCUGUCCUCCGAAGCUCCACCGUAGUCCUCAGCCCAGGAGCACCGACCGCUCGGAAGUCAAGAUGGCCAGCCUCUUAACAGUCAAGCCUGCCCGCCGCCACUGAUGCAAGCACACCGGCCGCGGCUCUCUCCAGCCCACCUGCCAUUCUGAAGUCAAGCUGUGCCUGCUCCUUCAGAGCACCCUCCAGUGCCAGCUCCUCGGAGCAGUCAUUGGACCUGAUGAUCCAGCUGUUUGAGCUAAACAAGAGGACACUCAUUCAGUGGUUUCAAUAGUGGCAGAAAAAUCAGGAAAUGAGUGUCCUCGCUCAGGGACUGACUCCACCUGACCCAAUUGCUGUGGCUGAUACACAGCUUCCUUCUCCGAGGCAAAAAUUGGAUGACGCGCCAUCAACAUCAGGCCCAAAACAUCAAUUUAUCCUUCCGCCAAAUCGAGAAGGACAGGCUCCUCUUCUGCGACCAGGUCGACGGCCCGCUGAUUCCAUCUUCUGGUGCUUCGACAUCCAGUGCAGGCUCCACCUGCUCCUGCGUCUGCUGCUCCUGUGUCCCAUUACACCCAGAGGAACAGGCGCCGGCAGGCCCUGGAGAUGGAAAGCAGAGUCCAUAAGAGGAAGUAUGUGUGAGGGGUUACUUUUAACGCAUGCAGCAAAUGUGAGCAGCCCAAAACUAACGAUUUUGGUCAUAGCCGAGAUGGUAUGGUAUGUUUGAAAUGGAAAACGGAAAAUCGUUAGAUGACUGGUUGGCAGAACAGCGCCAGGAAAUUAAAUGCCAAACUCCACCUCCUCAGUAAAUAAUAUAUUUCCUGUAUGUUGUGUGUAUAUAUAUAUAUAUAACAUGG